GGAAACUGCCUGAUGGAGGGGGAUAACUACUGGAAACGGUAGCUAAUACCGCAUAACGUCGCAAGACCAAAGAGGGGGACCUUCGGGCCUCUUGCCAUCGGAUGUGCCCAGAUGGGAUUAGCUUGUAGGUGGGGUAACGGCUCACCUAGGCGACGAUCCCUAGCUGGUCUGAGAGGAUGACCAGCCACACUGGAACUGAGACACGGUCCAGACUCCUACGGGAGGCAGCAGUGGGGAAUAUUGCACAAUGGGCGCAAGCCUGAUGCAGCCAUGCCGCGUGUAUGAAGAAGGCCUUCGGGUUGUAAAGUACUUUCAGCGGGGAGGAAGGGAGUAAAGUUAAUACCUUUGCUCAUUGACGUUACCCGCAGAAGAAGCACCGGCUAACUCCGUGCCAGCAGCCGCGGUAAUACGGAGGGUGCAAGCGUUAAUCGGAAUUACUGGGCGUAAAGCGCACGCAGGCGGUUUGUUAAGUCAGAUGUGAAAUCCCCGGGCUCAACCUGGGAACUGCAUCUGAUACUGGCAAGCUUGAGUCUCGGAGAGGGGGGUAGAAUUCCAGGUGUAGCG
rnacentral:rRNA from 1 species